AAGCAAGGUGCAAUACAAUAGACAAGAUGCAAUUCAAGAGCCAAGAGUCAGCAGCUUUUAUUAUCUAGCAUCCAAGUUAUACAUGUGUAAAGGGGGAGGCAAGAACAGGGACAAGAAUCAAGCCAGGUUCUGAAACACUUAGGUACAGGGGCAAUUUUUGCAAGUAGUAUAUCAGGGGGGGUAGGUAUAGAGAGGGAAAUCCACUAGUUCUAGAAUUAAAAGAAGUUCAUAAACAUUGGAACAACUUUGUUUACCUUUUGCUGUUCACUGGGAGAAAUUUGCCCAGCUCUGGCAAUUGAAUUGCCCUCGAUCUCCAGAAUUUUUGCCUGGUCAGCACGAAAGAGUUGCAGACGCAAUUGUGUUUUCCAGAAUUUCCCCCAGGAUUUUUCGCUUUGAUUUUUGGCCUUUUUUACUCUGUUCUUCGCAGUGGGAGGGGAGGUCCCCAACGCUAGGCCAUGGCGUCCAGCGGCGGCUGGGGAUGGAAACAAGAAGUUGCAUAUCUGCGCUUGUGGGACGUAGGGUUUUUCUUGUGGUGGGUGAGUGGGGGAGGGGAAAGAUCACGUGAGGCAGAUCGGUCGCUGCUUGUUGGGACGUGGAAACGAGGGGGAGGUGGGCCUGCCUUUUUAGCACAUGGGUGGGGACCGACAGGAUUGACUUUCCUAAUAUGGCGGCCGCGACAUCCACCCGCAUAGCGCGCGGGCUCUGCGUAGCAGCGUCCGGGUUAUUAUUUAACAUUAACCACCACAUGAAGCCAUUUUUAUCUCUUGCACAUCGUGAGCAGGUGGAAUAUGAUUUAACAUUAACCACCACAUGAAGCCAUUUUUA